GGGGUUGGUGGUUGAACUUCGA
rnacentral:miRNA from 1 species